UACGGGGGGGGGGUAAGCGUUUGUUCGGAAUUACUGGGCGUAAAGGGCUCGUAGGCGGCCAACUAAGUCAGACGUGAAAUCCCUCAGCUUAACUGGGGGAACUGCGUCUGAUACUGGAUGGCUUGGAUUCGGGGAGAGGAAUGCGGAAUUCCAGGUGUAGCGGUGAAAAUGCGUAGAUAUCUGGAGGAACACCGGUGGCGAAGGCGGCAUUCUGGACCGAUAUUGACGCUGAGGGAGCGAAAAAGCCCAGGGGGGAGCAAAACGGGGAUU
rnacentral:rRNA from 1 species